AUUGAACGCUGGCGGCAUGCCUUACACAUGCAAGUCGAACGGCAGCGGACCUUCGGGUGCCGGCGAGUGGCGAACGGGUGAGUAAUAUAUCGGAACGUACCUUUCAGUGGGGGAUAACGUAGCGAAAGUUACGCUAAUACCGCAUAUUCUGUGAGCAGGAAAGCAGGGGGAUCGCAAGACCUUGCGCUGAUUGAGCGGCCGAUAUCAGAUUAGCUAGUUGGUGAGGUAAAGGCUCACCAAGGCGACGAUCUGUAGCGGGUCUGAGAGGAUGAUCCGCCACACUGGAACUGAGACACGGUCCAGACUCCUACGGGAGGCAGCAGUGGGGAAUUUUGGACAAUGGGCGCAAGCCUGAUCCAGCCAUGCCGCGUGAGUG
rnacentral:rRNA from 1 species